UCUUAACCACUGAGCCAUCUCCCCAGCGCCACAUCUGUCCGUUUCUACUGGACACCACUGGGGUGUGACCGCCAUGCCUAAUGCUGAGAGAAGAGAGAGAGGAUGAGCUACUCAGCUCCCCACUGCCCUCGACUCACCUCCCUAAUGAAGGGUGGCCCACUCUUGCUUCAACGCCCAUACAGAACCCUCAGAUCCUGAAGCUAUGACUUAGUAAAUUUUUUUAUUUUAUGUA